rnacentral:misc_RNA from 1 species
GGUACCCAAAUGUACUUAGAUCCUUGGGGCCUAGUAGUUCCAUUAUUAUUAAUGUCAAAUAUUCUACCAUAUCCAAGAUGGACUUUCCUAAUGGCACACCUAUAGUUGGUGUGACCAAACUUGCCACAAUAGUGACAAUGACUGUUGAAUCUUCUUAUUCUUGGUCUAUAUGCAAGAGAAUGUGCAUAUGGUCUCAUGUGACCAAUAUUUUAGUGUCUAAUAUGUGCAUGUGAACAUGAAGCAUUAUGUGUAUGAUGAUGGUUAUAAGGCCUAGUAGCAUGUCCCCUAUAGGAGUUUGACCUAGAUGCAAAUCUCCUAGAUGUAUGUCUUAUUAACAUUGUGUCUAGGGACAUGUUGAUGAUAUGAAGUCUUUC